UCCGGUUUGUCACCGGCAGUAUCCUAUGAGUCCCCAACUUAAUGCUGGCAACAUAGGACGGGGGUUGCGCUCGUUGCGGGACUUAACCCAACAUCUCACGACACGAGCUGACGACAGCCAUGCAGCACCUGUGCAUGGGCUCCGAAGAGGGGCCCCCGUUUCUGAGGGCUUUCCCAUGUAUGUCAAGCCUAGGUAAGGUUCUUCGCGUUGCGUCGAAUUAAACCACAUGCUCCACCGCUUGUGCGGGCCCCCGUCAACUCCUUUGAGUUUCAGCCUUGCGGCCGUACUCCCCAGGCGGAGUGCUUAACGCGUUAGCUGCGCCACUAAAGGGUAAACCCCCCAACGGCUAGCAUCCAUCGUUUACGGCGUGGACUAC
rnacentral:misc_RNA from 1 species